rnacentral:rRNA from 1 species
GAGUUUGAUCAUGGCUCAGAAUGAACGUUGGCGGCGUGGAUUAGGCAUGCAAGUUGAGCGAGAAAUUUUGUAAAGAUACUUCGGUUGAUUUACAGGAUGGACAGCGGCGAAAGGGAGAGUAACGAGUAGAUACGUACCCAAGGGUUCGGGAUAGCCAUGCGAAAGCGUGAGUAAUACCGAAUAAUGUCUCCGGACCAAAGAUUUAUUGCCCUUGGAGCGGUCUGCUUACUAUUAGCUAGUUGGUGGGGUAAUGGCCUACCAAGGCAAAGAUGGUUAGCGGGUGUGAGAGCAUGGCCCGUCUCACUGGGACUGAGACACUGCCCAGACACCUACGGGUGGCUGCAGUCGAGAAUCUUCCGCAAUGGGCGAAAGCCUGACGGAGCGACGCCGCGUGCUGGAUGAAGGCCCUCGGGUUGUAAACAGCUGUCGUAGGGGAGGAAAUUUUGACCGAUCCUAGGAGGAAGCACAGGCUAAGUUCGUGCCAGCAGCCGCGGUAAUACGAACUGUGCGAACGUUAUUCGGAAUCACUGGGCUUAAAGGGUGCGUAGGCGGGCAGGUAGGUCAGAUGUGAAAGCCCACGGCUCAACCGUGGAAUUGCGUUUGAAACCACUUGUCUUGAGGGGAUCAGAGGAGAGCGGAACUGAUGGUGGAGCGGUGAAAUGCGUUGAUAUUAUCAGGAACACCGGUGGCGAAAGCGGCUCUCUGGGAUCCUUCUGACGCUGAGGCACGAAAGCUAGGGGAGCGAACGGGAUUAGAUACCCCGGUAGUCCUAGCUGUAAACGAUCUGUACUAGUCCGUGGGGACUCCCACAUCUUCUCGGACGUAG